rnacentral:misc_RNA from 1 species
GGUGCAGGACGCCUGGUUCUCCGUGGUGCGCCAUAUUGGCAGCUUCGAAGGCCGCUCCAGUCUCAAGACCUGGCUGCUGACCAUCACUGCCAACUCGGCGAAAAGUCGCUACAAGCAAAAUCGUCGUGAAGUGUUGAUGGAUGACCUGCCGUCGCCCCAUGGCA